rnacentral:rRNA from 1 species
UACGUAGGGGGCAAGCGUUGUCCGGAAUCAUUGGGCGUAAAGCGCGUGUAGGCGGUCCGGUAAGUCCGCUGUGAAAGUCGGGGGCUUAACCCUCGGAUGCCGGUGGAUACUGUCGGGCUUGAGUACGGAAGAGGCGAGUGGAAUUCCUGGUGUAGCGGUGAAAUGGCGCAGAUAUCAGGAAGAACACCAAUGGCGAAAGCAGCUCUCUGGGACGGUACUGACGCUGAGGCGCGAAAGCCAGGGGAGCGAACGGGAUUAG